UGAGUCAACAUCUGUAGCACAGAUAAGUAAACUCAGGGUUGGGCAGGUCUAUGCUGCGUCGGUGAUGUAUGGAUACUUCCUGAGGCGGGUUGACCAGCGAUUUCAGCUUGAGAGGACAAUGAAAGUCCUUCCAAGUGCUUCAGAUGAUGACAAAAGUAGCAUUGAGCAAACUGUGGGGGAUGACACAAGACCUUCUGGUCUAGGGGACUCCUAUCAAGCUGCUUCAUCACACCCUGAAGUCU
rnacentral:lncRNA from 1 species